rfam:Bacteria symbiont BFo2 of Frankliniella occidentalis strain BFo2 contig501, whole genome shotgun sequence.
CUCGAUGUUAAAUCGUACAGGAUGAGAACCUGCAGCAGGUUCGAGUCGAACGCAGUGAGACAGCGUUGCCAGUGGCAACGACCCGUAGGGCGAGCGUAGCAAGUCAUCCUGCACGACCCACCA